CCUACGGGAGGCAGCAGUAGGGAAUUUUGCUCAAUGGGGGAAACCCUGAAGCAGCAACGCCGCGUGGAGGAUGAAGGUUUUCGGAUUGUAAACCCCUUUUGUUAGAGAAGAUAAUGACGGUGACUGACGAAUAAGCACCGGCUAACUCCGUGCCUGCAGCCGCGGUAAUACGGAGGGUGCAAGCGUUACUGGGAAUCGAUGGGCGUAAAGAGCGCGUAGGCGGGUUAGCAAGUCAGAUGGGAAAUACGAUGGAUUAACCAUAGAACUGCAUUUGAAACUGUUAUUCUAGAGUAUGGGAGGGGUAGGUGGAAUUCUUGGUGUAGCGGUAAAAUGCGUAGAGAUCAAGAGGAAUACUCAUUGCGAAGGCGACCUGCUAGAACAUAACUGACGCUGAUGCGCGAAAGCGUGGGGAGCAAACAGGAUUAGAUACCCUAGUAGUC
rnacentral:rRNA from 1 species